rnacentral:rRNA from 1 species
UACGUAGGAGGCAAGCGUUGUCCGGAAUUACUGGGCGUAAAGCGCGUGUAGGUGGUGGGACAAGUCUGCUGUGAAAGCGCCUGGCUUAACCGGGCGAGGUCGGCGGAAACUGUUCGACUCGAGGACGGUAGAGGGGGGUGGAAUUCCCGGUGUAGUGGUGAAAUUCGUAGAUAUCGGGAGGAACACCAGUGGCGAAGGCGGCGACCUGGGCCAAUAUUGACGCUGAGGUGCGAAAGCGUGGGGAGCAAACAGG